UACAGAGGGGGCAAGCGUUGUUCGGAAUUACUGGGCGUAAAGGGCGCGUAGGCGGCCUGCUAAGUCGAACGUGAAAUCCCCGGGCUCAACCCGGGAACUGCGUCGGAUACUGGAUGGCUUGAAUUCGGGAGAGGGAUGCAGAAUUCCAGGUGUAGCGGUGAAAUGCGUAGAUAUCUGGAGGAAUACCGGUGGCGAAGGCGGCAUCCUGGACCGACGAUUGACGCUGAUGAGCGAAAGCUAGGGGAGCAAACAGG
rnacentral:rRNA from 1 species